UAUCUAUUAGAAUGUGAAGCUUCAUGAAGGCAAGGGGUUUUUGUUGUCAUUGUUGUUGGUUUUGUCUAUUUUAUUCACUGUUAUAUUUCCAGGUCCCAGAACAAUGCCUGGCAUGCAAUAAAUAUUUGUUGAAUGAAUGAAAAAUGGUUAUCAAUAGGCAGGGCAACAUCCACGUGAAAGUAAUUUGGUGACUUCUCAGGCAUCUGAAACACACAGAUUGAAAAACACUGCUGGAUUCAGUAGGAACUGGGACAAAGGGUAUCUUCAGAAAGAAUAAUGGAGACCUGUGUUGUUGCUGAAGGAGAUGGAGCUUGGGACUUGGAAGACUGGCAGAGCUGCUUCUCCUUAGGAGCUCUGGCUGCUACUGGAGCAGCCCCAGGAAGGCUCUGUCACUAGGA
rnacentral:lncRNA from 10 species